UACGAGGGGGGCGAGCGUUGUUCGGAAUUAUUGGGCGUAAAGGGCGCGUAGGCGGUGCGGUAAGUCACCUGUGAAACCUCUGGGCUCAACUCAGAGCCUGCAGGCGAAACUGCCGUGCUCGAGUGCGAGAGAGGCCAGUGGAAUUGCAGGUGUAGCGGUGAAAUGCGUAGAUAUCUGCAGGAACACCCGUGGCGAAAGCGGCGAGCUGGAUCACUACUGACGCUGAGGAACGAAAGCUAGGGGAGCAAACAGG
rnacentral:rRNA from 1 species